rnacentral:rRNA from 1 species
CAGCAGCCGCGGUAAUACCGGCGGCCCGAGUGGCGGCCACUAUUAUUGGGCUUAAAGCGUCCGUAGCCGGGUUGGUUAGUCUCCCGGGAAAUCUGGCCGCUUAACGGUCAGAAUUCCGGGAGAUACUGCCAGCCUAGGGACCGGGAGAGGCCGAGGGUAUUCCCGGAGUAGGGGUGAAAUCCUAUAAUCCCGGGAGGACCACCUGUGGCGAAGGCGCUCGGCUGGAACGGGUCCGACGGUGAGGGACGAAGGCCAGGGGAGCAAACCGGAUUAGAUACCCGGGUAGUCCUGGCUGUAAACGAUGCGGACUUUGUGUCGGACAAGCUAUGAGCUUGUCCGGUGCCGGAGGGAAACCGUUAAGUCCGCCGCCUGGGGAGUACGGCCGCAAGGCUGAAACUUAAAGGAUUGGCGGG